CGGAGGCGCGCGUUGGGGAUUGAUUUACCGAUUUUCUCCUCAGACAAGUGUUACUGUUUUGUGGUCGAUUCUGGGAUCCUUUUCUUGGUGUGUCUUGAUGUUUUCUGUUGGCUAAAGAGCCAUCCAUCCAAGAUCAUCUAUCUGAACUGCUGAAAACUGCCUCGGUACGGAUCUGUUGGAGCUUUGUGUCACUGACUGUAUUUCUGCAAAUUCCUGUUCCGUGUCACAUGGCUUAUGCAAGACUGAAUCCAUAAAGGGGAUGGUCUGUGGAGACUGUGGGCGAUUCCUUCUGCUGUCAUUUAAACAUGAGCAGAAGUAAUGACGGGAUUUAAAUGGACGCAGCUAAUAUUAUGCCAGAGUCCGCUGCUUAUGCUGUAACCAUAAAGUUACCAGGACAACACACCUGGAGUGACCGAGAGCAGGAUGAAGAAAGAAUCGGACAAGAAAAUAUCAACUGGUGCCCAUGAGGAGACAUAUUGUUCUUGGACCUGCUUUUUCUGUUUAGUAAUAAGUGGUUUUAUGUGGUUACAUAAAAGUAAUUUAAUAUUCAAUCCACAAGCUAAAUUUCCUACAUUUUCUUAAAAGGGUAGUUGACCCAAAAAAGGAAAAUUCUGUCAUUUACACAAACAGUUUGGUUACAAACAUUUCUCACAAUAUCUGCCUUCCUGUUUAUCAGAACAAAGAAAUUUAUGCGGGUUUGUAACAACAUGAGAGUGUGUAAAUGAUGACAUAAUUUUCAUUUUUGGGUGAAGUACCCCUUUAACAUUUUUAUACCCAGGGGUAGGGGUGUGCAGCGGAGUCAGCAUUUGUAUCUGUAACAGUCUCAAAAUUAUUUGUAUCUGUAUUUGUAUUCGGAUUAAACCGGAAGUGGGUGGGUUGACAACUCAUAUUACAUUAAAAUGGCAUUUUAAAUGCAUUUUUGCUUUUUAUUAUAAUUAUAACUUAAAUAACUGUAAAUAUUUGUUCAAAAUAAUAAUACAAAAUUUUAAUCAAAAAGACAAAUAACUUGAUUCUCGUAAGUAAUACUCAUGGAAAGCAAACAACUCAUUUUUAAAGCCUCAUACAGCUUGUGCUAUGCAUCAUUGUAUUGUAGCAUUAAAAUAACAAACUUGAAAGCACGUUGACAAAACUGUAGGGUAGAUCACCUUUAAAUGUUUAUUGUGCCUGUCAGCACAGUUCCAUGAGACCCAUUCUUUCUAAAUAAGUGCGAUGUUUUCAGAAAAAAAUAA